rnacentral:rRNA from 1 species
CAAUAGCGUAUAUUUAAGUUGUUGCAGUUAAAAAGCUCGUAGUUGGAUUUCGGAUGGGAUUUGCCGGUCCGUCGUUACGAUGUGCACUGGCCAGUCCUAUCUUGUUGUCGGGGACUAGCUCCUUGGAUUCACUGUCCGGGACUGGGAGCCGACGAAGUUACUUUGAGUAAAUUAGAGUGUUCAAAGCAAGCCUACGCUCUGAAUAUAUUAGCAUGGAAUAACACGAUAGGACUCUGGCUUAUCUUGUUGGUCUGUGAGACCAGAGUAAUGAUUAAGAGGGACAGUCGGGGACAUUCGUAUUUCAUUGUCAGAGGUGAAAUUCUUGGAUUUAUGAAAGACGAACUUCUGCGAAAGCAUUUGUCAAGGAUGUUUUCAUUAA